GAGAUCGCCAUGAUGGGGAAGAAGGAAGAGGAGACCUAAAGGCCAGCUGACAUCAGGACUUUGGGUCCCUAACCUGCAACUCAGCACUCAGUCCAUCAUGGGCUUUGCUAGUCUCUGUGACUUCUCCAGGGCAGGAAAGUGACAGGUUUCUGCGCAAGGGAGCCCGAGGUACCUGGUUCAGGAUGGAGAGGGCACUUGAGAGGCGUCAAAAGCAAGCACAGUUAGAGGACAUCAGCGAUGUUAAAACCCCACGAGGGUCAACAGUAGCCCAGGCAAAAUAAAGGAGCCUGAAGUGGAAAAACAGAAAUGGAACAAGACGUUUGUUCUGGAGCACGUGAGAUUGUCCUUCUAAGACAUUUCCAGAAGUAUUCAAAGGAAGAUUUAAUGGGAAAUCAUUAUGCAAAAGAGUCAGUAAUAUAUUUUAGUUUCAAAAAGUACGGAGCGUGACGCCUGUCAAUUAUACCUUCUGCAAAGGUGAGUGGCGGUUGUCCUUGCUGUUCCAAAAUGCAAAGAGAAACAAACAAACAAACAAACAAGCAAACCAGCUACUCCUAUUCCGCACUCCAAACACCAAGCAGAAAUGCUUCUGGGACAAACUGAGCUUCAUUCUUUAUGAAAAUGAAAACACUUCUUUCUGUGCACUAGGAAAAUGUUCUGCCUCUGAGCUGCAAAACCAGCACCAAACUUGAAAAGUUUGUGCAUCAAAGGAAAAAGGCAACCUACAGGAUGGGGGAGAAUAUUUGCAGGACACAUGUCCUGGAAGGAAUACAUAUUUAGACUGAAUAAAAUGAGUAAGAGGAGGGAUAGGGAGUUCGUGUUCAAUGUUGAGAGCUUGGGACAGUUGAGAAAACGCUCCGGAGUGUUCUGCAGAUGAAUGAUGGUGACGACUGCAUCAGUGUGAAUGUCCUUAACGCCGUCAAAAAUUGGUUAUAAUGGCAAAUUUUAUGCUACAUAUGUUUUACUACAAUAAAAAUGCCAGGAAAAUC
ensembl:lincRNA Platr4 pluripotency associated transcript 4